GUAGGGAGCAAACGUUGUCCGGAUUUAUUGGGCGUAAAGGGCUCGUAGGCGGUUCAACAAGUCGGUCGUGGAAACCCGGGGCUCAACCCCGGGACGCCGGUCGAAACUGUUGUGACUAGAGUUCGGUAGAGGUGAGUGGAAUUCUCGGUGUAGCGGUGGAAUGCGCAGAUAUCGAGAGGAACACCAUUAGCGAAGGCGGCUCACUGGGCCGAUACUGACGCUGAGGAGCGAAAGCGUGGGGAGCAAACAGGAUUAGAUACCCUGGUAGUCCACGCCGUAAACGAUGAACACUAGGUGUGGCGGACUGAUUCAUGUCGGCUGCGCCGUAGCUAACGCAUUAAGUGUUCCGCCUGGGGAGUACGGCCGCAAGGCUA
rnacentral:rRNA from 1 species